ACGGCUGUGGUCAAGUGGUACGCGCUAAGGUUUCUGCGGAAACCCGCUGACCUUGCCCGCGCAAGAUGACACGAGCUUCCCAAGCUUGUAGUCCGGGUUCGAUUCCCGGCAGCCGUA
rnacentral:tRNA from 1 species